rnacentral:rRNA from 1 species
CCUACGGGAGGCAGCAGUGAGGAAUAUUGGUCAAUGGACGAGAGUCUGAACCAGCCAAGUAGCGUGAAGGAUGACUGCCCUAUGGGUUGUAAACUUCUUUUAUAUGGGAAUAAAACGUUCCACGUGUGGGAUUUUGUAUGUACCAUAUGAAUAAGGAUCGGCUAACUCCGUGCCAGCAGCCGCGGUAAUACGGAGGAUACGAGCGUUAUCCGGAUUUAUUGGGUUUAAAGGGAGCGUAGGUGGAUUGUUAAGUCAGUUGUGAAAGUUUGCGGCUCAACCGUAAAAUUGCAGUUGAAACUGGCAGUCUUGAGUACAGUAGAGGUGGGCGGAAUUCGUGGUGUAGCGGUGAAAUGCUUAGAUAUCACGAAGAACUCCGAUUGCGAAGGCAGUUCACUGGACUGCAACUGACACUGAGGCUCGAAAGUGUGGGUAUCAAACAGGAGUAGAUACCCCAGUAGUC